GUUGGGUAGGGGAGCGUUCUGUAAGCCUGCGAAGGUGUACUGUGAGGUAUGCUGGAGGUAUCAGAAGUGCGAAUGCUGACAUAAGUAACGAUAAUGCGGGUGAAAAACCCGCACGCCGGAAGACCAAGGGUUCCUGUCCAACGUUAAUCGGGGCAGGGUGAGUCGACCCCUAAGGCGAGGCUGAAAAGCGUAGUCGAUGGGAAACGGGUUAAUAUUCCCGUACUGGUGGUAACUGCGAUGGGGGAACGGAGAAGGCUAGGUUGUCCGGGCGACGGUCGUCCCGGUUCAAGCAGGUAGGCAGAGUGAUUAGGCAAAUCCGGUCACUUAAUGCUGAGAUGUGAUGACGAACCACCAAGGUGGUGAAGCAAUUGAUGCCCCGCUUCCAGGAAAAGCCUCUAAGCUUCAGGUUACCAACAAUCGUACCCCAAACCGACACAGGUGGUCAGGUAGAGAAUACUCAGGCGCUUGAGAGAACUCGGGUGAAGGAACUAGGCAAAAUGGUGCCGUAACUUCGGGAGAAGGCACGCUGGCGGUAGGUAAAGUCCCUCGCGGAC
rnacentral:rRNA from 1 species